AAGACAUUACCAUUCAGAGGACUGCAAGGAGUUCUGUACUCUGUCGUUCUUGACUGGAGGCUGAUUAAAGAACCAWGUCAAGCUGCCAAAGGUUUCUGGGAAACACUACUAAGAGAGCAUGCAUCUGGGAAAAUGAAAAAGGAUGUGAGACUCUGAAGAGGACAGGGAGCUUCUGUUAUUUUACAAACAGGAGUGGACACAUCUAAGGUUAAUAAUGAGAUGCUGCUGUAAGUGAUGGAGUUAUGCUGUGAUAUUUCCUGACAGAAUUACCAGGCUCCAGUGUGUGUUCAGUCUAGAUCCUGGUAAUCAUGUUGUUAUUUUACACUUUAUUUACCAUCAUUUUUGUCUAGGCCUGUUUCAUUAGUUGUUUUUUUUUAAAUAUGCAGGCAAUUUGUGAUUUGAGGUGACUGUGGCUGAGUGGUUAGGGGAGUCCUCCAAUGAGAGAGUUGGUGGUUAGAUUCCACGACUGUUCAGUCAUGUGUCCACGUGUCCAUGGGCAACUCACUGAACCCCCACUGUCUCUGAUGUGUCCCAUCAGUGUAUGAGUGUGAUUUAAAGCACUGAUUAGUCUCUAUGGAUCGAUUUAUCUGGAUUAGCUUUGUAGAGCUAUAGCAGAGUGCUGUGUGUAAAUACCAAAGAAGUAAAGAUUUAAAUCAACCAACUACACUGUUAAAUACAUUUGAAAGUUACACACAUUAACUAAAUUGUUGGUACCUCUCUGUUAACGAUCAAAAAACCUACAAUGGUCACUGAAAUAAUUUGAAAUUAACAAGCGUACAUAAAAACAUAUUAAAAAUCGAUCAAUAAAAAUAGUAGAUGGACUGUACUUAUCUUAAAACUUUUUCCUAGUUACCAGAUACUUAAUUAUUUUUAUGUCUUUACAGACAUACCUGACAUGUUUCAACGAGUUCUUCCAUGAUGAAGACGGAAGUACUCGUCGGAACAUGUCUGGCAUGUCUGUAAAGAGUGAAAAAGUGUCUAGUUACUAGGAAAACGUUUUAAGAUUUAUCAUAUAGACACA